rnacentral:rRNA from 1 species
UACGGGGGGGGCAAGCGUUGUUCGGAAUUACUGGGCGUAAAGGGCGUGUAGGUGGCCAACUAAGUCCGACGUGAAAUCCCCAGGCUUAACCUGGGAACUGCGUCGGAUACUGGAUGGCUUGAAUUCGGGAGAGGGAUGCAGAAUUCCAGGUGUAGCGGUGAAAUGCGUAGAUAUCUGGAGGAACACCGGUGGCGAAGGCGGCAUCCUGGACCGACACUGACGCUGAGGAGCGAAAGCCAGGGGAGCAAACGGG